AUUGAACGCUGGCGGCAGGCUUAACACAUGCAAGUCGAACGAUGAUUUCCCAGCUUGCUGGGAAUGAUUAGUGGCGGACGGGUGAGUAACAUUUAGGAAUCUGCCUAGUAGUGGGGGAUAGCUCGGGGAAACUCGAAUUAAUACCGCAUACGACCUACGGGUGAAAGGGGGCGCAAGCUCUUGCUAUUAGAUGAGCCUAAAUCAGAUUAGCUAGUUGGUGGGGUAAAGGCCCACCAAGGCGACGAUCUGUAACUGGUCUGAGAGGAUGAUCAGUCACACCGGAACUGAGACACGGUCCGGACUCCUACGGGAGGCAGCAGUGGGGAAUAUUGGACAAUGGGGGCAACCCUGAUCCAGCCAUGCCGCGUGUGUGAAGAAGGCCUUUUGGUUGUAAAGCACUUUAAGCAGGGAGGAGAGGCUAAUGGUUAAUACCCAUUAGAUUAGACGUUACCUGCAGAAUAAGCACCGGCUAACUCUGUGCCAGCAGCCGCGGUAAUACAGAGGGUGCGAGCGUUAAUCGGAAUUACUGGGCGUAAAGCGAGUGUAGGUGGCUCAUUAAGUCACAUGUGAAAUCCCCGGGCUUAACCUGGGAACUGCAUGUGAUACUGGUGGUGCUAGAAUAUGUGAGAGGGAAGUAGAAUUCCAGGUGUAGCGGUGAAAUGCGUAGAGAUCUGGAGGAAUACCGAUGGCGAAGGCAGCUUCCUGGCAUAAUAUUGACACUGAGAUUCGAAAGCGUGGGUAGCAAACAGGAUUAGAUACCCUGGUAGUCCACGCCGUAAACGAUGUCUACUAGCCGUUGGGGUCCUUGAGACUUUAGUGGCGCAGUUAACGCGAUAAGUAGACCGCCUGGGGAGUACGGCCGCAAGGUUAAAACUCAAAUGAAUUGACGGGGGCCCGCACAAGCGGUGGAGCAUGUGGUUUAAUUCGAUGCAACGCGAAGAACCUUACCUGGUCUUGACAUAGUGAGAAUCCUGCAGAGAUGCGGGAGUGCCUUCGGGAAUUCACAUACAGGUGCUGCAUGGCUGUCGUCAGCUCGUGUCGUGAGAUGUUGGGUUAAGUCCCGCAACGAGCGCAACCCUUUUCCUUAUUUGCCAGCGGGUUAAGCCGGGAACUUUAAGGAUACUGCCAGUGACAAACUGGAGGAAGGCGGGGACGACGUCAAGUCAUCAUGGCCCUUACGACCAGGGCUACACACGUGCUACAAUGGUAGGUACAGAGGGUUGCUACACAGCGAUGUGAUGCUAAUCUCAAGAAGCCUAUCGUAGUCCGGAUUGGAGUCUGCAACUCGACUCCAUGAAGUCGGAAUCGCUAGUAAUCGCAGAUCAGAAUGCUGCGGUGAAUACGUUCCCGGGCCU
rnacentral:rRNA from 1 species